rnacentral:rRNA from 1 species
AGGGCACCACCAGGAGUGGAGCCUGCGGCUUAAUUUGACUCAACACGGGAAAACUCACCCGGCCCGGACACUGGAAGGAUUGACAGAUUGAGAGCUCUUUCUUGAUUCAGUGGGUGGUGGUGCAUGGCCGUUCUUAGUUGGUGGAGUGAUUUGUCUGGUUAAUUCCGAUAACGAACGAGACUCUAGCCUACUAAAUAGAUCGUCGGCUUACAAACGCCGGCGAGACUUCUUAGAGGGACAGGCGGUGAUUCAACCGCACGAAACAGAGCAAUAACAGGUCUGUGAUGCCCUUAGAUGUCCGGGGCCGCACGCGCGCUACACUGAAGUGAUCAGCGUGCUUUUUCAACCUACUCUGUCAAGAGUGGGGAACCCAAUGAACCUUCUUCGUGAUUGGGAUGGGGGAUUGUAAUUAUUCCCCUUGAACGAGGAAUUCCCAGUAAGCGCGAGUCAUAAGCUCGCGUUGAUUACGUCCCUGCCCUUUGUACACACCGCCCGUCGCUACUACCGAUUGAAUGUUUU